UGCCCGAUAGUGUAAUGGUAGCACCACGGAUUCUGGUUCCGUUUGUUUAGGUUCGAGUCCUAAUCGGGCAGCCA
rnacentral:tRNA from 1 species